rnacentral:rRNA from 1 species
UGCAGAAUCCCGUGAACCAUCGAGUCUUUGAACGCAAGUUGCGCCCGAAGCCUUUUGGCCGAGGGCACGCCUGCCUGGGUGUCACAC